AGGAGCAGGAGGAGGGAGAGAGGAGGAUUUGGAAAAGGAGGAACAGGAGGAGGAAGAGGAAGAGCUGCAGCAGAACCACAGGGUUUUCCCGCCCACUCGCUGAGUCUGCAGCUCUCCUGGCCCUGGCAGCCUCGACCCCCCCCAGAUCUCACAGCCAGGAUUUGUCAAUCCCAAACUUUGUCUGGAUGGAGGUGGAGGAGGCUGCAAGGAAAAGGAAGAAUGGUGUGGGACACUGAGGCAGCUGAGGAGGAAGUCACUGCCCCUUUCCCCCUCUCCUCUGCUCCACCUAUCAGCCCAGCAUUUCCUGUGCCUGCAGGCCAAGGCCAUCCUGCCAGGGAUGAAUUGGUGGGAUCUCCUUCCCCUUCCCUGUGGCACAAUGCCCAGGCACUGAGCUGCAGACGGAGACCAGGGAGAGCAAAUCCCUGCUGCAGAACCUCAUGGAAGAGGCUGUUUGGAGCAGCUCCAUGGCACAGGAAUCCAGUGGGGAGGAAAAGCCCUGGAGAUCCCACACAAGGAGGGGCUGCAGAUCCCCUGGAGAUGUAAAUAGGAAAGAUGCCCCCUAUGCCAGGAAGGCAGCUGGAGAUCCAUUUGGAACUCAGAGGUGGUGGAGAGGACUCAUGGCAGGCAGAAGCCCCACAAGUGCUUGGGAUGUGGGAAGGGCUUCAGCCAGAGCUCUGGAGCUCACACCUGGUCCAGGUGAUCCCCACAGGGAACUGGCCCUACAAGUGUGGGGAGUGUGGGAAGGGCUUUGGGUGGAGCUCCAACCUCAUCAGUCACCGCAAGAUCCACACCAGGAGAGACCCUGUGAGUGUCCCGAGUGUAGGAAGUGGUUUCUGAGCAGCUCCAAUCUCAUCAUAAUGAAUCAAGGGAUCAGCUGGAAAUGUAUUUACAAUAAUUGAAAACUGUGGAUGAGUUGAGGGGCUAGCUGGGAAUAUAAUUGAGAUAGUAGAAGAUUACAUAUUUUAGUUAAGAUUUAAAAUUAGUUAAGAAGCUAAGUUAACUAGCAAAAAUCACAUACCUUAGUGAAAGAGUAACAAAUAUAUUAGAAAGUAAAGCCAGGAGUGACAGAGAUAGAUGUAGCAAUUGUGAAGGAGCAGAGACCAUAGAAAUACCUUGCCUUAAGAAUAAUCAAACAGUUUUAUAAUCACAGUCUAAAGAAGAAUAAUCACAGUCCAAACAGAGAGGCUUGGACUGUGACCAGCAGAUCACAAAGUCCUGCAAACUGGCCAUGGGUGAGGAGUUUACCAUGAGGAAGACAGCUUUCUUCCUCCCAUAUGCCCACUCCUUUAUUUCAAAAUCCCACUGACCCAAUUAAGGGAGGGCAAUUGCGCAGCCAUAUUAGGUAUUCAGCUGAUUAUAACACAAAGUGGGCAGGUAAUGAUUCUGUAUUCUGCCUCCUUAGAAACUGCCUGGAUAUGUAAAACCUUUUCUGUAUAAACAGAGAGCAGGAGUCUGCCACUCCUUGCACAUGCAUUUGGAAAUGAUUCCUCAUGUGUCCAGUGCUGAAAUAAAACAGCCUUCUUUUGAACUUUAA